rnacentral:lncRNA from 1 species
GAUGGAAUUGCUAUUCCAUUCCCGUCCUAUUCCGCGCGCUAGAGUAAUUCAUACGUUUGGUUUACCGUUUAGGUGAUUCCGCAGCUUUACUAUUACACCCAUAUUCCCUCAGGUCCUGUAAUAGGGAUUCAGCGGUGGGGGCUCUAAAUCGCUAUUCAACACCACACGCCGAAUACAUUUUCACAUUUUGGGACCAAAAUAGCCUACUUUCUUCUCCCCAAAAUUCAACUCCAGAUUUCUUCCAACCUUUUUCCCCUAAAUCAAGCAUCCAUCCGCCUUUCAUCUUCAUCCUCUCAAAGGGUACGUUUUCUUUUUUUACUUCAAGCUCCUAAAACAGGUUUCUAUUUCUCCUUCCUCAUAACUGCUCCAGAUUUCUUGUCUGCGUUUCAAAGUUGAGACCUUUGUUUAGUCUUCUUUUGGCCUGUAGCAUGUCACACCUUAAAUCUAAGAAGGGAACACUUAGAUUCUACUCCCAUGAGUUCUUAAACUUAAGCCUGUAGCAUGUUUUCGUCAGUUUUGUUAUAUAUAUAUUUUCUAUUUCCAAUUCAUGACUAGUCAAAGCUUGUUACUUGUUUGACAGGAAAGUAUUGCGGCAAAAUUUCAGAUCCCUUGGAAGAAGGGUGCAAGCUUGGCCCCAUUGUUAGUAGAGGGCAGGUAUUAUUUCAAUUUCGUUGUUUGGUUUUAGG